UUUGAGAUUGUCCUGAAUUUUACUGCCUUGUCCUGUUUACAGUCAUCACAGGGCCCACAAUGGCCCUUUGUCGGUCCAAGACCAGGCCAGCUGGUCUCAUAGUCCUAAAUGGCUGCUGCAGCUCCAGACAUCACAUCUCAACAUAGUAACAUCCAGCAGAAAUGCGUGGCAGUCCGUGGCCAUCGCAGAUGCCCAGUGUGGUUUCGUUGAAACGGAAAACGUGUGUGGAUGAACAAAGGCAUAAAGAACGGAUGACUAAAUAGAAGAUUGAAUAAAUAUCUGGACUACUGAGCUGAAAAUUGAGGUCUAAAAAUUCCUUUCCUGGUAUGCCUGAGAGUGGCGCUGUGAGCUUAUAGGGACCCGGCAUUUCGGCUUUGUUAGAUCGU